GACCGCGUAGCUCAGUUGGAAGAGCAUUGGGCUGCUAGUAUUCCAAAGGUCGUAGGUUCGAAUCCCACCGUGGCCG